CGGAGGGUGCAAGUGUUAUCCGGAUUCACUGGGUUUAAAGGGUGUGUAGGCGGGCAGUUAAGUCAGUGGUGAAAUCUCCGGGCUCAACCCGGAAACUGCCAUUGAUACUAAUUGUCUUGAAUAUCGUUGAGGCAGGCGGAAUAUGUCAUGUAGCGGUGAAAUGCAUAGAUAUGACAUAGAACACCAAUUGCGAAGGCAGCUUGCUAAACGAUCAUUGACGCUGAGGCACGAAAGCGUGGGGAUCAAACAGGAUUAGAUACCCUGGUAGUCCACGCCCUAAACGAUGAUUACUCGACAUACGCGAUACACAGUGUGUGUCUGAGCGAAAGCAUUAAGUAAUCCACCUGGGAAGUACGUCCGCAAGGAUG
rnacentral:rRNA from 1 species